rnacentral:rRNA from 1 species
UACGAAGGGGGGCUAGCGUUGCUCGGAAUUACUGGGCGUAAAGGGCGCGUAGGCGGAUACUUAAGUCGGGGGGUGAAAGCCCGGGGCUCAACCUCGGAAUUGCCUUCGAUACUGGGUAUCUUGAGUUCGGGAGAGGUGAGUGGAAUGCCGAGUGUAGAGGUGAAAUUCGUAGAUAUUGGGAAGAACACCGGUGGCGAAGGCGGCCAACUGGACGGUGACUGACACUGAGACGCGAAAGCGUGGGGAGCAAACAGG